rnacentral:rRNA from 1 species
AUGAACGCUAGCUACAGGCUUAACACAUGCAAGUCGAGGGGCAGCAUGGUCUUAGCUUGCUAAGGCCGAUGGCGACCGGCGCACGGGUGAGUAACACGUAUCCAACCUGCCGUCUACUCUUGGACAGCCUUCUGAAAGGAAGAUUAAUACAAGAUGGCAUCAUGAGUCCACAUGUUCACAUGAUUAAAGGUAUUCCGGUAGACGAUGGGGAUGCGUUCCAUUAGAUAGUAGGCGGGGUAACGGCCCACCUAGUCUUCGAUGGAUAGGGGUUCUGAGAGGAAGGUCCCCCACAUUGGAACUGAGACACGGUCCAAACUCCUACGGGAGGCAGCAGUGAGGAAUAUUGGUCAAUGGGCGAGAGCCUGAACCAGCCAAGUAGCGUGAAGGAUGACUGCCCUAUGGGUUGUAAACUUCUUUUAUAAAGGAAUAAAGUCGGGUAUGGAUACCCGUUUGCAUGUACUUUAUGAAUAAGGAUCGGCUAACUCCGUGCCAGCAGCCGCGGUAAUACGGAGGAUCCGAGCGUUAUCCGGAUUUAUUGGGUUUAAAGGGAGCGUAGAUGGAUGUUUAAGUCAGUUGAGAAAGUUUGCGGCUCAACCGUAAAAUUGCAGUUGAUACUGGAUAUCUUGAGUGCAGUUGAGGCAGGCGGAAUUCGUGGUGUAGCGGUGAAAUGCUUAGAUAUCACGAAGAACUCCGAUUGCGAAGGCAGCCUGCUAAGCUGCAACUGACAUUGAGGCUCGAAAGUGUGGGUAUCAAACAGGAUUAGAUACCCUGGUAGUCCACACGGUAAACGAUGAAUACUCGCUGUUUGCGAUAUACAGCAAGCGGCCAAGCGAAAGCGUUAAGUAUUCCACCUGGGGAGUACGCCGGCAACGGUGAAACUCAAAGGAAUUGACGGGGGCCCGCACAAGCGGAGGAACAUGUGGUUUAAUUCGAUGAUACGCGAGGAACCUUACCCGGGCUUAAAUUGCAGAUGAAUUACGGUGAAAGCCGUAAGCCGCAAGGCAUCUGUGAAGGUGCUGCAUGGUUGUCGUCAGCUCGUGCCGUGAGGUGUCGGCUUAAGUGCCAUAACGAGCGCAACCCUUGUUGUCAGUUACUAACAGGUUCCGCUGAGGACUCUGACAAGACUGCCAUCGUAAGAUGUGAGGAAGGUGGGGAUGACGUCAAAUCAGCACGGCCCUUACGUCCGGGGCUACACACGUGUUACAAUGGGGGGUACAGAGGGCCGCUACCACGCGAGUGGAUGCCAAUCCCAAAAACCUCUCUCAGUUCGGACUGGAGUCUGCAACCCGACUCCACGAAGCUGGAUUCGCUAGUAAUCGCGCAUCAGCCACGGCGCGGUGAAUACGUUCCCGGGCCUUGUACACACCGCCCGUCAAGCCAUGGGAGCCGGGGGUACCUGAAGUGCGUAACCGCGAGGAGCGCCCUAGGGUAAAACUGGUGACUGGGGCU